rnacentral:rRNA from 1 species
AGCGAACGGACGAGAAGCUUGCUUCUCUGAUGUUAGCGGCGGACGGGUGAGUAACACGUGGAUAACCUACCUAUAAGACUGGGAUAACUUCGGGAAACCGGAGCUAAUACCGGAUAAUAUUUUGAACCGCAUGGUUCAAAAGUGAAAGACGGUCUUGCUGUCACUUAUAGAUGGAUCCGCGCUGCAUUAGCUAGUUGGUAAGGUAACGGCUUACCAAGGCAACGAUGCAUAGCCGACCUGAGAGGGUGAUCGGCCACACUGGAACUGAGACACGGUCCAGACUCCUACGGGAGGCAGCAGUAGGGAAUCUUCCGCAAUGGGCGAAAGCCUGACGGAGCAACGCCGCGUGAGUGAUGAAGGUCUUCGGAUCGUAAAACUCUGUUAUUAGGGAAGAACAUAUGUGUAAGUAACUGUGCACAUCUUGACGGUACCUAAUCAGAAAGCCACGGCUAACUACGUGCCAGCAGCCGCGGUAAUACGUAGGUGGCAAGCGUUAUCCGGAAUUAUUGGGCGUAAAGCGCGCGUAGGCGGUUUUUUAAGUCUGAUGUGAAAGCCCACGGCUCAACCGUGGAGGGUCAUUGGAAACUGGAAAACUUGAGUGCAGAAGAGGAAAGUGGAAUUCCAUGUGUAGCGGUGAAAUGCGCAGAGAUAUGGAGGAACACCAGUGGCGAAGGCGACUUUCUGGUCUGUAACUGACGCUGAUGUGCGAAAGCGUGGGGAUCAAACAGGAUUAGAUACCCUGGUAGUCACGCCGUAACGAUGAGUGCUAAGUGUAGGGGUUUC